UGAGAACCAGCAACUGGCAUCAACAGUGUUAUGCUCCUCUGCGGAGAUGCCAAAACCUGAACACCUCAGUUCCAACAACUUUCACUCAGGAGAGGUUAACAGAGAGAUUGAGAGAAGUUAAACAACAUGUUCAAGAUCACACUGUUGAGGAAAUGAAAAGGGAGAGACUGAAGAUACUGGAGGAAAAAAUAAUGGAGCAGUUUCCGGGAGAAGGAAAG